rnacentral:rRNA from 1 species
GCGCACGGGUGCGUAACGCGUAUGCAACCUACCCUAUACAGGGGGAUAGCCCGGAGAAAUCUGGAUUAAUACCCCAUAGCACUAUGUUGAGGCAUUUCGAUAUAGUUAAAGAUUCAUCGGUAUAGGAUGGGCAUGCGUCUGAUUAGCUAGUUGGCGGUGUAACGGACCACCAAGGCGACGAUCAGUAGGGGUUCUGAGAGGAAGGUCCCCCACACUGGCACUGAGAUACGGGCCAGACUCCUACGGGAGGCAGCAGUAGGGAAUAUUGGGCAAUGGACGAGAGUCUGACCCAGCCAUGCCGCGUGCAGGAAGACGGCGUUCUGCGUUGUAAACUGCUUUUAUCUGGGAAGAAAAGGCCCAUGCGUGGGACAUUGCCGGUACCAGAUGAAUAAGCACCGGCUAACUCCGUGCCAGCAGCCGCGGUAAUACGGAGGGUGCAAGCGUUGUCCGGAUUUAUUGGGUUUAAAGGGUGCGUAGGCGGCUAUUUAAGUCAGUGGUGAAAGACUCCGGCUCAACCGGAGCAGUGCCAUUGAUACUGGAUAGCUUGAGUAUUGGAGAGGUACAUGGAAUUGAUGGUGUAGCGGUGAAAUGCAUAGAUACCAUCAGGAACACCGAUAGCGAAGGCAUUGUACUGGCCAAUAACUGACGCUGAUGCACGAAAGCAUGGGGAGCGAACAGGAUUAGAUACCCUGGUAGUCCAUGCCGUAAACGAUGAUUACUCGCUGUUAUGGCUUUAUGUUGUAGCGGCCAAGCGAAAGCGUUAAGUAAUCCACCUGGGGAGU